GAUGAACGCUGGCGGCGUGCCUAAUACAUGCAAGUCGAGCGAACAGACGAGGAGCUUGCUCCUCUGACGUUAGCGGCGGACGGGUGAGUAACACGUGGAUAACCUACCUAUAAGACUGGGAUAACUUCGGGAAACCGGUGCUAAUACCGGAUAAUAUAUUGAACCGCAUGGUUCAAUAGUGAAAGACGGUUUUGCUGUCACUUAUAGAUGGAUCCGCGCUGCAUUAGCUAGUUGGUAAGGUAACGGCUUACCAAGGCAACGAUGCGUAGCCGACCUGAGAGGGUGAUCGGCCACACUGGAACUGAGACACGGUCCAGACUCCUACGGGAGGCAGCAGUAGGGAAUCUUCCGCAAUGGGCGAAAGCCUGACGGAGCAACGCCGCGUGAGUGAUGAAGGUCUUCGGAUCGGAAAACUCUGUUAUGAGGGAAGAACAAAUGUGUAAGUAACUAUGCACGUCUUGACGGUACCUAAUCAGAAAGCCACGGCUAACUACGUG
rnacentral:rRNA from 1 species